rnacentral:rRNA from 1 species
UACGUAGGGGGCAAGCGUUGUCCGGAAUCAUUGGGCGUAAAGCGCGUGUAGGCGCCAGAAAAGUCCGCUGUGAAAACUCGAGGCUCAACUUCGAGCUGUCGGUGGAAACUUUCUGGCUAGAGUCCGGAAGAGGAGAAUGGAAUUCCUGGUGUAGCGGUGAAAUGCGCAGAUAUCAGGAAGAACACCCGGUGGCGAAGGCGGUUCUCUGGGACGGUACUGACGCUGAGACGCGAAAGCGUGGGGAGCGAACAGG